UACGGAGGAUCCAAGCGUUAUCCGGAUUUAUUGGGUUUAAAGGGUGCGUAGGCGGAUUAUUAAGUCAGUGGUGAAAGCCUGCAGCUUAACUGCAGAAUUGCCGUUGAUACUGAUAAUCUUGAGUACAUUUGAGGCGGGCGGAAUGUGUCAUGUAGCGGUGAAAUGCUUAGAUAUGACACAGAACACCGAUUGCGAAGGCAGCUCGCUAAACUGUAACUGACGCUGAGGCACGAAAGCGUGGGGAGCAAACAGGAUUAGAAACCCCCGUAGUCC
rnacentral:rRNA from 1 species